UACGUAGGGUGCAAGCGUUAAUCGGAAUUACUGGGCGUAAAGCGUGCGCAGGCGGUUGGGCAAGACAGAUGUGAAAUCCCCGGGCUUAACCUGGGAACUGCAUUUGUGACUGCAUGGCUAGAGUGUGUCAGAGGGGGGUAGAAUUCCACGUGUAGCAGUGAAAUGCGUAGAUAUGUGGAGGAAUACCGAUGGCGAAGGCAGCCCCCUGGGAUAACACUGACGCUCAUGCACGAAAGCGUGGGGAGCAAACAGG
rnacentral:rRNA from 1 species